CCGCAAAUGUUAGCCUGCGUGAGACUUUCUUCUGCAGCAGUUUCUUCCUCCUGACACCCUGGCGACUCCAGCCCGGGGCCUGGAGCCGGGCUGCGAGGGAUCAUUUCCGGAGAGAAAGGCAACCCCGACUGCGAGCCCUUUCAUGCCAAUGCAUCUAAUUCUCAGGUGCCAAGGCCUUGGAUGUUCCUGCGUUUAAUUUUCACAACUCCGUGAUGUGGACGUUACUGUUUCCGUAUGUUUAGAUGAGCAGUUAAGGCUUACAGAGUCGUAGCGACUUAUCCAACAUCACCCACAGUAGAGAGGAAAACUCGGUUUGGACAAUGAUCUGCCUUUGAAGUCCAGGCGGUGCCCCCCGGAAGUGCCCAGUUUAGUGGGCGGGGGAGAGAACAAGAGAAAUGAAUGUACCCAUAGAGAACAAAGGAAGAAAGAAGGAAUGGGGAGUGGAGAAAGACAAGAAGGAACAGAAGGAGGGUGGAAGGAAGAAAAGAAGAGGUAUUUAAUAAGUGCUAUCUCAAUGAAUCUUGACAGCAUGCAUGUGAGAUAAAUGUUAUUGUCCCCUAUUGCAGAAGAUGAUAUUGAGGCUCAGAAAGGUGGAGUCACUUGUUGAAGUUCAUGUAGUGUGUACGAAGCAGAAUUAGAAACUGAAACGAGGUCUGCGAAGCCAAGGCCAUGCUCUCAUUCUUGAACCACGAGUCAGAGUCAAUCACAUGGUCAAGUGUGAGAAUUAAAUGGAUUGUGUAGAAAGCCAUAUCAAUCUAAGAGAUUCUUUUUAAUAAUAAUAGCAACCAAGCCAUAUGACCUUGAGAAAGGCACUUGAUGUCUCUGGGCCAGUUUCCUCAUCUGCAAUGAUGGUGGACUCCGUGAGUGCUAAGGUGCCUCUUGGCUCUUGAGUGCUGGGAUCCAGUGUAAUGCUCUGUGAAUUCCUCAGCCAUCAUUGUGAGCCAUUUAAAAAUGAUAGAUUCUUCCAGAAGGAGCAGUGUCUCUUUAGCUAGAAUCACCAAGGUCAGGCCAAGCAAACUUAUUUGGGGUUUUUGAUGGAAUCACUCUUAAUUGAUUGGGGUGAAGAGUUCAGAGCUAAAUUGGAGGAUUGGCUUUUCGGCUCCAGGCUGGAAGAGACCGAGGCCUGACCUGAUUUGAGGUUGUCUGACAAUGGCUAUGCCUGCUCCCUCUUAAACAGCUGGAGCAGCCUUCAAACAGAAGCCGGCAACACUUCCCACUCCCUGGAGAAUAAGGGAGCUGCUGAGCAAUGAAUUAUUAUGCCGUCUUGGUCGCUGGAGAAAUGAUGUCAAAUUUCUGGGGCUUUCCUACAUUUUACUCUGCCCAGGGCUUGGAGGGUUUCCAGCUUUCUUUUGUUUUGAUUUGUUCUCUUCUUUCUCUAAGAUAUUUUAUUAUUCUGGAUUUAAGACCA